CAGCCAGCUUGAUAGAACCUACUUCUAACAAUAUGGUGAGAAGCAGUUCUUGCAUGACCACUGGCUAUCACCAUACAUCUGCUACCAUGCAGGGUACACUCUGAAAUCCCAAGUUAUUUGCAAGACUGGCACUUAGAGAAAUUCUUCUUAUUUAACUGAGCAUAUUUGAUAUGGAAAUCAAUGAGAGACUAUAAACAUGGACCCCCAGAAUGCCAUUUUGGUCAUUUUGUUUUUGUAAAAUCAGAUUAUAAAAGAAUCCAGUUAUACUGCAUCAGAUUUUUAAACGUUGAUAACUGAUGGACUGAUAUGAUGUGAUUUCUUUGAAGAUCAAGUUUUCUGCCCCUGCAAGAAAUUAGAGGAGAGGAUGUACAGAAGAACUGAAGACUGAAAACACCUGCAGAUUAAAAGCAUGAAGAAACAUAAGAAGGCUCGUCUGCAGUCGGGCAGACAUGAGGGCAUGAAGACAUAUAACUGUCCCAGAUUUGGGAUGUUCAAAUAAUACUUUCUGCAAUCUUGCCUGACAAAGUUACUUAGUGGUAAAGAAAAAAAAACAAAAAACAAGAACAUAAAAGAAGAAGAUCUGGAUCAUAUGUAUUUUUUUCAUCAAGAAACUUUGAAAGUCAAGCAAGUAUUUUUUUUAUCUUGACCUUUCUACAAUACUGCCCUAUAUUCACAAGUUGUCAGCACAUGUUUGUCUGGAGUCAUCCGUCACUGCCAUCCGUCACUCCUCUGCCAUUCCCAUCAGUCCCAUUAUCUGGGAUCAAGAGAGAGCUGAGGAUGUAGCCUGAAGGAUCAUUAAACCUUAGCUUCCAGGUAUUGCAGGUAGUCCAGGUGGCCUGUUGUUAUUUAUAAUAAAGAAACAACACAGCAGAACUGCUUGAUAGUGGCCCAUGAGGCCUCAUGAAAGGACGGGCUGAGAGAUGUCAUCACUGAAGGACAGCUAAAAGUGGUGGACUUUCUUCCCCCCUUGCAGUAAGCAGAGAGAAUUUAUUGAACAUCUGUUCAGUACAUGGCUGGGAAGAUUGAUUAAUUUAAUUGCUCACACUUUGCUUAAGUAACAUUUGAAUACUUAAUGUCAGGUUUGAAGGAUAUUACAGGGUUUCCUACACACCUUCUUUUUAAAGAGACAGAGUUUCCGAUUGCUUUUGGUGUCUUUCUGGGAAGUUGAAAUGCAUCCUAAAAUUUACUUUGUAUUCGAGUCCAUCAAAAGAAGCACAUGGGAAAUGCUGCCUUUUCAUAAAAGCAACUAGCUAUUUUUCAUAUUUUGCCCAUCAUUAUCAAUCAUUAGUGUAACAAGUUUGGCUCUUCUUUACUGAGUGGUGGUAAUUUUCCCUCUGGUAUCAACUGUAGAGACAGUUCUGCAUAUUAUAUAUUUCUGUACCCUUUAACAUAAUACCAUGAUUGUACUGAAGUAGUAGAUGAGUUAAAGCUGCAAUAAUUUAUUGCAAGUUCCAUUCAGACAGUGAGUUUGGGAGGAAAUUUGUGAAAUCCUCACAGGAAAAAAUACAUUAAUGGAGUAACAUUAAACAAUGGAAUGUUUGAUAUAAUUCCAUCAUCUAUGGUAAUAGAAUACUCAAAUAAAAAAUAUGAAUGGGCUCUUCGGGGUACAGUGGUCAUCAUGUAAAAGAAAAAUUUUA